CUUCUUCAUUGGCGGGAAUUGAGCUGAGGGAACGACAGUUCUCGAUGCUCCCUGGACAAGAAGCGUUUAAACCACAUGACCUUGGCUGGGCGCAUUUUAAUUUCUUCGUCUUUAGAAAGGCACUAGCAGGGGUUCUUCCCUACAGCCCAGCGCAGGGGUACGGGGAGCGCCCGGAGCAAAAGCGCUCGCAGCACACAAUUGCUUUCCACCGGAGGCUGCGAGACACCCUCGACCUGUUUCUGCUUCUGCUGCAGACGAAGACUCUGUGGAGACACAAGAGUGUGUCAUAACACGUCGUGCAGCAAACACUGAGAACGCUUCUGGCGAGACCUUCACAGGAUUCCUCCAUGCAACUAGAAGAAAAUAAGAAAACAGAGGGUCAAACCACCACAGAUUAUUUUGAUAUAAGACACAAAUCAUCUAAUUCUGGUUCAUAAUAAAAAGAAAAUGUUUUCUAAAUCUGUUUUUUUUCUUGCCGAUCUUACCCAGGAGGUUCUGAAUGAGGUGUGUGUUGGGAGCGAGAGGUUCUGAUAGGUUGAACUGAGUGUAUCUGCUGUGUUGAAUCUGCCGUAAAGCAUCAAGGUUACCCAGCAGGAUGUCGCACAGCCACUGGGCGUUCACACACGGGAUUCGCCACUCCUUCGCCUUCUCGUACUUCAGUCCGCUCGGCCUGGAGGCAACACACACAGAGCAUGACUAGCAAAUAUAUCUCGUGUCUAGAUGUCAUGAAACUUGAUUAGUACCAAAACGGAUCCACAAAGUUGAAUCGGUUCAUCUGGACACAAGUUUGGUAUGGAGAUACGUUUCAUCACCCAGCUGGUGGUCUGAGCUGGUGGUGAAUAAUCCAACCUUAUAUGCAGUCGAUUUGCAUAAUGACCAACACCGGAUCCAUUGCAUAACAUCAUAUGAUCAGAUCUAUAUGAUUCUGAUGAGAACGGUGUUGCUGCGACACAGGUACCCCGUAUAACGAGCGCCUGCUAAAUACGCCAUGAGCUUCAAAUCAUCCCGAUCGCUGUCCAAAAAUCCAGUCACUGAAAUAAUCUGAGGAGUACAGAGGGAGGAACUGAGCACUUUAUCAGAUCAUGGGUUAGAUAGUCAAUAAUCCAUUCAGGAGUGACGACUUUGAUGCCGCUGUGUCUCAGAGCGCAUUCAUAUUUUUCCUGGGGAGGCAGAAAUUCAGUUCACCUCACUUGCAUGUUUUUGGACUGCAAACCGGAGCUCCCGGAGGAAACCCACACAGACACGAGGAGAACAUGCAAACUCCACACAGACAGGCCCCAGACGGCCCCACCUGGGGAUCGAACCCAGGACCUUCCUGCUGUCAAUAGAUUUUAAAGGCGUGUUUAUGUUUAAUUUGCAUUCCUAAUUUAGACCCGUCUAAUUAUCUCCAACACCUCACCAGCUGGGUUUCUUCUCGACCUUGGUAAGCAGACCACUGUUCCAUGCAAUCUGUACAGAGUGCUGAAAUCAGUGACAUGUGAUGAACACCUUGACAUACCUGCUUCACACAAGACCACGUGAACUUGUGUAUGCAACUGAAUCGGUUUAAUGUUAUUAUUAAUAUUAUUAUAAUAACUGAGACAGCACUGUUCACUCAGUUUUGUUGUAUUUGUAAAGCUCUGAAUUAUAAAAGCAAAUACUUUACAAAUAAUUGCACAAUAUUCAACAAACAAACUUAAAUGUCUAACAGAUUUAAACUGGAUGUCCGGAACACUGUUACCUUAUUGUACAUCACAUAAAUAGGGCUUCAGCUGUUAGCCAGCAGGCUAGUAUAAUAAACAAUCUUUUAGUAAUAAAAGCAUUUAAAACACAAUCAUCUCAUUACACUUCUAAUACAUUAUAAGAACAUUAAAUGUCCUGUUUUUUAUUCAGCACUAUUCUAGCUAGCUAUCAUUGUUUAUAUAUUAAAGUAGGCAGAUUGCUAGUUAGUUAGCUAAAGGCUAACUGACAGAAAAAACUUCACCUUUUGAUCAAUAUCCCCGACCACAUAAAACUUCACGUCCUUGAACAGCUGGUCCGGGACUUUUAACUCCUCUUCCAACAUUGUUCUUAUAAAUACUGCACAACUUUCAUCACACUUAAUACAUCAAUAACAACAGAAACAUCAUCCUGUGUCCGGUACAGCUCUCCAACUGAGCUCAACACCAUAGAACCGCUACACUUUCCCUACCCGUUUUCAGACUCUAACAUUUGGAUUGGCGUGGUAUCACGCAAGUCUGUGUUGCGAUUGGCUGAUCCUGUUAAACGUCAGGGGUAUUUUAAUCGCCAGCCAAUCCUGACUCAGGAGGCGGAAUUAUCCGAAAUACGGGUAGGAAAAAUAUAAAGCGCCAAAGAUGAUUCGGCGGGAGGACGAACCAUUACAUUUUUCUCGGGGGUGCAAACACUGAGGUGCUUACAUUAAUUUAAAAUGAUAUCGAAAUACAUUUAUAUUUAUUGAAUUUACUUUCUUUUGUCGCUAAUAGUGAGCGUAAUAGUACAAAAUAAAUAUAUUUGAUUGCGAAAGAAAAAAUAUUAAAAAGUGUAAAAUUACGACACCCUUCCAUAAAUGGAACAUCUCAUAUUUGUGGGCGGGGCCACCUUUUAUUCCCGCCAAGCAUAAAAUCGUGACGCCUAUAAAUACCUGUAAAACAAUAAAAAAAUAGCUUUAGAAUGAAUGUAUUAACCUUCAUUAUUGCUAAAUAAAAACAGGAUGAAGACCAACAUGUGGUUUAAAAGCACAUUUAGUUCGAGUAAGUGUACAAAUAUAAGUUUGCACUCUUACUGCUCCCUAAUUUGAUCAUUUCCCUCUAGAAAAAUGACUCAAACAUGUCUUUCACACUAGCUAAAAUUCAUUAACUCAUAUUAACUAUGAAUGAGUCCUAAACCCUAAAGUCCUAAAUCCUGAAGUGUACAGUAAAUGGUCUCAAAAGAUUCAGGUAAUUCAGAGGUUGGAAAUGAAACCACUGUUGAAUGUGUGACCUGUGAACCCUUAGACACCAUUUAACAGACACUGUAAUAAAUACAGCCACGUGGGCUCAGGAGUUCUCCGGAAACCCGCUGUCACUUAACACAGUCUGCAUAAAUGACCUUUGGUUAAUGCAAGGGUGGCACGGUGGCACAGUGGGUAUCGCUGUCGCCUCACAGCAAGACAGGCCUGCUCAUUUAUUCCCUGUUGGAUUUGAGGGCAUAUAGAAUCUUUUAUGCUUUUUCAGGGUACUAAUGUUGAAAUCAGGCUAGAGGUUUAAUGGGUUAAUUAAUAACCACCUAAUUUACUGUUCACCAUGAAGAAUAACACAGUACUCUUUACUAUACUGUACCAUACUGUAUUAUAUAAUACUAUACUAUAUCAUACAAUGCUGUACUGCACUAUCCAAUACUGUAUUGUAUAAUACUGUACUAUAUCAUUCUUUACUGUAAAAUAUUGUGCUAUACUAUACGACAUUAUGUUACUAUACUAGAUCAUAUUUUACAUCACUGUAAUGUACUAUACCUUAUCGAACAUACUGCAUUGUAUAAUACUAUACUACACCAUACUGUACUAUACUAUACUGUACUACACAAUAUUCUAUUAUAUAAUAUUAUACCAUACAUACUGUACUAUAGUACAUACUAAACUAUACCAUACAAUGUUGUACUGUACUAUACUAUGCUUUACUCUACAAUAUUGUGCUAUACUGUACAUGGGCGGCACGGUGGCUUAGUGGGUAGCACUGUCGCCUCACAACAAGAAGGUCCUGGGUUCGAUCCCCAGGUGGGGCGGUCCGGGUCCUUUCUGUGUGGAGUUUGCAUGUUCUAUAGAUACCUAGCUGCACUAGUGCAUUGUACUG